AGGAUGAACGCUGGCGGUCUGCUUAACACAUGCAAGUCGAACGGGCGUAGCAAUACGUUAGUGGCGGACGGGUGAGUAACGCGUGAGAAUCUACCUUCAGGACGGAGACAACAGUUGGAAACGACUGCUAACCCCCGAUGUACCGAAAGGGCAAAUAUUUAUAGCCUGAAGAAGAGCUCGCGUCCGAUUAGCUAGUUGGAGAGGUAAAAGCUCACCAAGGCGACGAUCGGUAGCUGGUCUGAGAGGACGAUCAGCCACACUGGGACUGAGACACGGCCCAGACUCCUACGGGAGGCAGCAGUGGGGAAUAUUGCACAAUGGGCGAAAGCCUGAUGCAGCAACGCCGCGUGCGGGAUGACGGCCUUCGGGUUGUAACCGCUUUCAGUAGGACGAGCUAGCGUGACGGUACCUACAGAAGAGCACCGGCCAACUACGUGCCAGCACGCCGC
rnacentral:rRNA from 1 species